AACGAACGCUGGCGGCAGGCCUAACACAUGCAAGUCGAGCGAAGCCUUCGGGCUUAGCGGCGGACGGGUGAGUAACGCGUGGGAACGUGCCCUUUGCUACGGAAUAGCCCCGGGAAACUGGGAGUAAUACCGUAUGUGCCCUUCGGGGGAAAGAUUUAUCGGCAAAGGAUCGGCCCGCGUUGGAUUAGGUAGUUGGUGGGGUAAUGGCCUACCAAGCCGACGAUCCAUAGCUGGUUUGAGAGGAUGAUCAGCCACACUGGGACUGAGACACGGCCCAGACUCCUACGGGAGGCAGCAGUGGGGAAUCUUAGACAAUGGGGGAAACCCUGAUCUAGCCAUGCCGCGUGAUCGAUGAAGGCCUUAGGGUUGUAAAGAUCUUUCAGUGGGGAAGAUAAUGACUGUACCCACAGAAGAAGCCCCGGCUAACUCCGUGCCAGCAGCCGCCGUAA
rnacentral:rRNA from 1 species